UGCCAGCAGCCGCGGUAAUACGGAGGGUGCAAACGUUGCUCGGAAUCAUUGGGCGUAAAGCGCGCGUAGGCGGCUUGACAAGUUGGAUGUGAAAGCCCUGGGCUCAACCCUGGAAUUGCACUCGAUACUGUCAGACUAGAGUCCCGGAGAGGGUGGCGGAAUUCCCGGUGUAGGGGUGAAAUCCGUAGAUAUCGGGAGGAACACCAGUGGCGAAGGCGGCCACCUGGACGGUGACUGACGCUCAGACUCGAAAGCGUGGGGAGCAAACAGGAUUAGAUA
rnacentral:rRNA from 1 species